GCUCCGAUAGUGUAGUCCGGCCAAUCAUUUCGGCUUUUCGAGCCGAAGACCGGGGUUCAAAUCCCCGUCGGAGCA
rnacentral:tRNA from 1 species